rnacentral:rRNA from 1 species
GGUUCAUUCAAAUUUCUGCCCUAUCAACUUUCGAUGGCAGGGUCUUGGCCUGCCAUGGUUACAACGGGUAACGGAGGGUUAGGGCUCGACCCCGGAGAAGGAGCCUGAGAAACGGCUACUACAUCCAAGGAAGGCAGCAGGCGCGCAAAUUACCCAAUCCCGACCGGGGAGGUAGUGACAAUAAAUACAGAUACAGGGCUCUUUUGGGUCUUGUAAUUGGAAUGAGUACAAUUUAAAUCCCUUAACGAGGAACAAUUGGAGGGCAAGUCUGGUGCCAGCAGCCGCGGUAAUUCCAGCUCCAAUAGCGUAUAUUAAAGUUGUUGCAGUUAAAAAGCUCGUAGUUG